rnacentral:misc_RNA from 1 species
AAUUCUCAACCUUUCUAGCUUUUGCAAGCUAAGUUAGGCUUGGAUAAUUGGAGGUUGCUGGCUAUUAAAAGUCGGCUCUUCUUAAAUAUAUUAGCAGAACCUUUUUGUUGAUCAUCUUUGGUAUGAUAAUUAUCUAUACCAUAGAUAGUUGGCUUCCUUUAUUUUGGAGAGGUUUGCUUCUAAUCGUCCAUCAGGGACAAUUUUGAAA